rnacentral:rRNA from 1 species
AUGGCUGGGAGGAAGGCACUAGAAGCCGGCUUGCUAUGUCGAAUUUGUGAUGGUAUUUCUGUGAAAAUUUGGACUGACCGGUGGCUACCUGGAAAGCUAUCUCUGCAGCCCUCAGUUCAGAUUGGGAGCGCCAACCUUCACACAGUUUCAAACCUUAUCGAUACAGACAACUGGAGCUGGAAAGUUGAUCUUAUAAGGAGUAACUUCACACCACCGGAUGCUGAUGCAAUUCUGAACCUACCUCUCCGGCAAGGUGGUGGCGACGAUUUCUGGGCGUGGGCUCAUGAGGGGUCGGGAUCAUAUACUGUAAAAUCUGCAUAUCAUGCUCUAAUGACCCGUAACGAGCAUUUGGCUCUAGGGGAAGGGACGAUUACUGAAACUUCUGAGAAUGACAAAUAGUUAUGGACUCGGCUAUGGAAGCUCAAGGUGCUACCCAAAGUCCACGUCUUUUGGUGGCGGGUUCUUCGCGGCAUCUUGCCAGUCGAAUCAACACUGAAAUAUAGGCAUAUAGCAACUAUGGCCCGAUGCAAAAUCUGCAAGGGUGCAGACGAAGACAUGGUGCACGCUCUCAUUAAGUGUUCCCAUGCCCUAGGAAAUGGCUCAAUGUCAAACUGCCACACUUACAUCCGAUCACUUGGUGCAAGGACAUUUUGUGUGACACACGCAUCAAUGAAGGGGACCGGCCGAAGAUCAUCACUAUCAUGUGGGCUAUAUGGACUUCUCACAAUAACAUAA